AGCGAACGCUGGCGGCGUGCCUAACACAUGCAAGUCGAGCGCGGGCAUUUCGGGGGGUAACCCCGGGAUGUGCUGAGCGGCGGACGAGUGAGUAAUACGUGGACAACCUGCCUUAAAGCUUGGGAUAACUCCGGGGAAACUGGAGCUAAUACCGGAUAAGACCACGGUGUCUAUGGAUGCUGAGGUAAAAGGCGGCCAGGAAACUGGCUGUUGCUUAAAGAUGGGGUCCACGUCCCAUCAGGUAGUUGGUGAGGUAAAGGCUCGCCAAGCCAAAGACGGGUAGCUGGCCUUAGCGGGUGGUCAGCCACACGGGGACUGAGACACGGCCCCGACUCCUACGGGAGGCAGCAGUGGGGAAUAUUGGGCAAUGGGCGAAAGCCUGA
rnacentral:rRNA from 1 species